rnacentral:rRNA from 1 species
UAGAGAUAGCUUAGUGCCUUCGGGAACUCUGAGACAGGUGCUGCAUGGCUGUCGUCAGCUCGUGUUGUGAAAUGUUGGGUUAAGUCCCGCAACGAGCGCAACCCUUAUCCUUUGUUGCCAGCGAGUAAUGUCGGGAACUCAAAGGAGACUGCCGGUGAUAAACCGGAGGAAGGUGGGGAUGACGUCAAGUCAUCAUGGCCCUUACGAGUAGGGCUACACACGUGCUACAAUGGCAUAUACAAAGAGAAGCAAACUCGCGAGAGCAAGCGGACCUCAUAAAGUAUGUCGUAGUCCGGAUUGGAGUCUGCAACUCGACUCCAUGAAGUCGGAAUCGCUAGUAAUCGUAGAUCAGAAUGCUACGGUGAAUACGUUCCCGGGUCU